UACAGAGGUCUCAAGCGUUGUUCUGAUUCAUUGGGCGUAAAGGGUGCGUAGGCGGCGCGGUAAGUCGGGUGUGAAAUCUUGGAGCUUAACUCCGAAACUGCAUUCGAUACUGCCGUGCUUGAGGACUGGAGAGGAGACUGGAAUUUACGGUGUAGCGGUGAAAUGCGUAGAUAUCGUAAGGAAGACCAGUGACGAAGGCGGGUCUCUGGACAGUUCCUGACGCUGAGGCACGAAGGCCAGGGGAGCAAACGGG
rnacentral:rRNA from 1 species